rnacentral:piRNA from 1 species
UCUGAGCUAGAAAAUUGGCUAUGGUAGCAA